GAUGAAGAACGCAGCGAAAUGCGAUAAGUAAUGUGAAUUGCAGAAUUCAGUGAAUCAUUGAAUCUUUGAACGCACAUUGCGCCCGCCAGUAUUCUGGCGGGCAUGCCUGUUCGAGCGUCAUUACAACCCUCAGGCCCCCGGGCCUGGCGUUGGGGAUCGGCGGAAGCCCCCUGUGGGCACACGCCGUCCCUCAAAUACAGUGGCGGUCCCGCCGCAGCUUCCAUUGCGUAGUAGCUAACACCUCGCAACUGGAGAGCGGCGCGGCCAUGCCGUAAAACACCCAACUUCUGAAUGUUGACCUCGAAUCAGGUAGGAAUACCCGCUGGACUUAAGCAUAUCAAUAAGCGGAGGA
rnacentral:misc_RNA from 1 species